rnacentral:tRNA from 1 species
UCAUUGGUAGUUCAGUGGUAGAAUUCUUGCUUCCCAUGUGGGAGACCUGGGUUUGACUCCUGGCCAAGGCA